GAUGAACGCUAGCUGGAGGCUUAAUACAUGCAAGUCGAGCGGGAUUGGGUAGCAAUACCCAUGAGAGCGGCGCACGGGUGAGUAACGCGUACACGACCUACCUCUAACAGGGGGAUAGCCCUGGGAAACUGGGAUUAAUACCGCAUAUUAUUCUGAAUAAUAAAGGUUUGGAAUGAAAGCUGAGGCGGUUAGAGAUGGGGGUGCGUCUGAUUAGCUAGUUGGUAGGGUAACGGCCUACCAAGGCGAUGAUCAGUAGGGGGCGUGAGAGCGUGGUCCCCCACACGGGUACUGAGACACGGACCCGACUCCUACGGGAGACAGCAGUAAGGAAUAUUGGUCAAUGGGCGAAAGCCUGAACCAGCCAUCCAGCGUGCAGGAAGAAGGCCCUAUGGGUUGUAAACUGCUUUUAUCAGGGAAGAAACCUCUGGAUUUACUCCGGAGCUGACGGUACCUGAAGAAUAAGCACCGGCUAACUCCGUGCCAGCCGCCGCCGUAAGAC
rnacentral:rRNA from 1 species